UCACCUUGGGUUGCAAGGGAGUUCUCUUUAGUAAAUGUGUUUCUUUGAGUACAAUGGAAAAGACGUGAUAGCUCAGUUCCUAUAACACUCGUCUCUUUUGAUACAAUACCUCACCAGUUUUGUACUCUCCUUUUUUUCUGACUUGUUUCACAGCAGAUCUUAGAGAACUACAAUAUUUGUAGGCAGUAGAAUAAAGAGAGGAUUUUUGGUUCGAUCAAAAUAUGUUUGUAUAAGGUUUGAUAUUGAGUAUAAAUACUUUGGUGAAGACCGUUUGCUGACGAGACUUGACAACCCAAGAGAUUUGAUCCUUGAAAAGAGAUUGAUUCUUUCCAAGAAUAAGAUUGCUUGGCGUUGCUCUUCCUUGAUGAGAGGAAAUUAACAGCUUCCCUUCUACAUUUGUUAAUGAUGAGGGUUUACUCCUUGAUUGUUGGUCCUUCCGAAAUUAUCCGCUCAACUACUCUUCUCACAGAAUCUUCGAUGCUUUUUGACUGCUUCAAUCUUCCGGAUUUGAAUGUGAUGGCCUUGAUUAAUGCCUUAAGUUUAGGCUUACUUGAUUAUUUCCAUCGCAGUUGUCCGUAAUCUUUGCUAAUUGAUUCGUAAUCAUUGCUGAUUGAUUUCUUUCCUUAAGCGUCCAGUUGACUUCAGCAAUCUUGUAGUAGCUCCUUGAUUCCUUGUUCUUCUGUAAUUGAUUUCCUGCAAAGAUAUAUUAUUUUCAUCAUUAAAAUUAGAUCUAACAAACCCUAUAUACAUUAUCUCUUAUGCAUAUUGAGAUUUGAAAAUAUGUGUGAAAUAUGGGUUCUUGAUGCGGAAUUGAUAAAAUAGCCUAUAAACAGGAUUUCUAGGUUGCCAAGUAUGAAACUCCAGAUUUCAAACGGUGAGACAAGAUACUAUAGGCAUGAUUUCUAAUGGUAUGUACAUAAAGGAUCAUCACAACAGCCUACAAACAUGGUUUCUACCCGAAUCUAAUAAAGAUGUAUAAAAAUCCCUCCCCAACUUUUACUAAUAACCCCAUAUCUGUUUUACAAGGAUUAUUACAUUAUUACAGACCAAUAUGAAUGAAUUACACAAAGCUAUUCAUUAGACUAUAGGGAGCCUUAGCAGGCCCAACAUCAACUUGGAAACCAGGCCCUCAAGCAAGCAAGUCUGAUGUACACAAGUAGUCCAUCCAUAAUACACAAACGGGAUGCUGAUGUGUCAAAGUUCCCAAGGGCCUCAAGGACCCCGGGCAAUGCUCAUACCAGAGCCUUUCAAAGAAAAUAGUUUUAUAACAGGUUGGAAGACCAGCCCCAAUGUGUCAGAGUUCAGUAGAGUCUCAUGGACCCGAGGCAGUGCUCACAUUGAGGGUGGUAGGACCCUAGAUAACUAAGAGUAGAAGUUUUAAAAUAGUGUAUAAGGGGGCAGGGGGUAAUUUUAGAAAAACAAUUUGAUAUUUGGAGGCAAACAUGUUCAAAGACUACAAAUAGAACAAAAACCUCAUUUAGCAGAUUGGUUCAUGCAUAGAUACCAGUAAUUAAACAAUCACAACAAGAGCAGGGACACUUGAAUUAUAGACAGAACUGCCUACGCAUAUUUGCAGUACCUAAAUUGAAUCAAACAAAGUCUCACAUUAUUGAAGGUUACUUAGCUUACUAAUUAUUACUAAGUGGAAUAAUAUAGACAUGUAUUAAGCAGAGAAACAUGAUGAAAUUAUCAUGAAUAGAGCACGAUAACAAGAACAGAGCAUGAACUAUAUGUCCAGCAGAAGCAUAUUGGAAUUUGAAGCACCUAACCACAUCGACAUAUAGAAUAAAGAGAUAACAAGGGCUAAAGCAUACUAGUGGGUAGUAAACUGGAAACAUAUAGUAAACAGAACAUAUGGAAGUUCGAAAUAAACUAAUCAUACAAGUCACAUGGAAUAAGAAAUACAUCAUAGUAGUUGAGAAAGAGAUGGUCAGGAAACAAAUAUUAAGACAAAAGCAUGUUCAUGUCUAUAGUAAACUAACUACAUAGCAUACAGAAUAGAACAUGAUAACAAAAAUUGAAGCAUACCAGUUAAGGAGAUAGCAAAUAGGGAGGUGCAGACAAUUGGAAUCCAAGAGUCUAGCCUUGGUUUUCAGCCGACUAGACAAUGCAGCAAAUCAGAGUGAUAGAAAGAACUCAAGUUGUGUGAGUGUAAGUGUGUAAGUGUAGGUGUGAGCUUGUGUGUCUCAGAGUGUGUUUGAAAAUCAGAAAAAUGAAGUGUUUUAUAGCAUAUAGUAAAGUAAAACCAAAUAAGGUAGGAGAAUCAAUAGCAUGCAAAUAACGUAUGACAAUCAAUUAACAAUUAGUUAAGGUUGUCAUAGAUCAAUUAACAGGCAUAAAUCAAGCUAGCAUCAGUUAAUGAAAUCAAUCAAUAGUCAAAUAAGGUAAGGAAUAAUUCCAGAAUCAAUUAGAAGUCAUCUUUAAUAACCAGAACAUAAAACCAGGCUAGUAAGGUUAAGUCAAAGAGCAUAAGUUAUUAAUCAGACAUGGUCCAAAUAAGGUAAGAAUAAGUAAAUCAAACAAAAUAAGAAAGUAUUAGUAUCGUACAGAAAAGGAAAGAUUAAAAUCUUAGUAAAGGGUUUCAAAACACUAAUUUUGGGUAAACCAUAAAGUCAGCAGAGAAAAAGGGAGAGAUAAUCACACUAUGCAUAAUGAGCAUAGACAAUAGGUUUAUUUUAAAAGCACAAGGAAUCGAACUAGAAAAAAUCUGAAACCCAAAUUUAAGGAAGAAUAAAUUAUUUUAAGAAACAACUAUAAGAAUAACAUAUACACAUAGAUACACGAAGCCAUUAAAGGAAAAAUACUCAAAAUCAAGGAAUCUUGAUAGAUCUGAAAUGACCUGUGCCCUAAUUUUAGGGUAAGUAAAAUGAGGCGAAAAACCUUUUAACGAAAUCAUGAAAAGAAACACAGGUAGUCAUGCAGAAACAUAGAUAUGCUUUUUAAUGAAAAUAAGUACUGAAUCUUAACAGAUUUCAAAGGAUUUGAACCAUAGCUUUUAGGGUAAAAUAAGGAAUAAACAAAAAUCUAAGAGAUUCAAACCAUAAGGAGACAGAGAAAGAACAUAGAUGGAAAGAGAUAAAGAUUCGAACCAGAUUUGGUUCAAAAUAAGAGAGAUCCACUUGCCAUGUUAGGCAAGUGAUUAUGUAACACCAUAAUCGGUUAGCUAGUAGAGAAAGGGAACCGGAUAAGGUAAGAAAUCACCAGAUGAUUCCAUAUUUGGUUAGAAUCAAAGGGGAUUUAGUGGGGAUUUGGGGUUACGACGCUUAGGGUUUGAGAGUGAAAGCGGAGAGGUUGAGAGAGUUCAAGGGCAG
rnacentral:lncRNA from 1 species